ACAUCAUCUAGAAGACUCCAGAAGCCACGAGACCGAAGCGGAGGCAAAACUGGGCCAGGCCCAGGGCGCCCGCCCUGGUAGCCUGGGCGCCCGCCCCCCUGUUGGAGCCAAAUCAGGACUCUUUCGCUCGGGAUAUUCCACCGACCUAUUAGAUCAAGAAAAACAUAGUACCACCUCGCCUAUCGACCCAAAAACGCAUAGAAGGGGAGGACUAUAUAAGCAAGGCCCCCUGGCCCCUGGAGAAGACAUGAAGAAAUUAUCAUAGAGACUGAGGGGUGCCCUCGAAGGAAAACCUCUUCUCUAAUUAAUAUUUCUUUUUAGGCUUAGCAAUCAAUGUAAGGUAGAAAUAGAUCUUCUAGUUUCUACUAGAUUGAGAGAGAUAGAGUGGAGGUGUAGAUUGGAGGAAGCCCGGCCUGUCGGUGUCUACUCCAAGCUUGUACCUGCGGGAUCAAGUUCUCCUAACCUGAAGCUUGCUCCUAGGAUUCUUCAGUAAUUCGACUUCUAAAUUCUAGUAAGUUCUUGUUUUAUUGUUCUUAUGGUUUAUGAGUUUACUUUAAUCUCUUCGCGUAGAGUUUAGAGUAAUCAUUGCUGGCGUAAACGUGGUGUUUAGGCUGGGGUACUCAUAGAUAUUCCCUGACUAGCUGGACCGUGGUAGUAGUGAGGAACAUGACAAUUCCGAGCUACCUUUGUAGAUCACAUCUCGUUAGCAGGAAGGAUAGGGUUUAUAGGUGCGGGUUGAACAUCCUUUGUGGUGUCUAGAUUCCGUUAGCCUCCCCAUUAGAAUAGUAGAUCAUCCUUACCAAGGUUAGAAGGAGACUACGGUUGCAGUCUUCUCUGUUUAUCACUCACAUCGAAAGACAUUCUUUGUGCCUAAAGGUUAGUAGUAAUAGACCGGUUAGUCAGAUGCACUCUUUCUCCUAGUGGUAAAAAAAUAAAUACGAUACUCUGGAUAAUUUCCCGGGUGAAGUGCUCACCGAUAUCCGUGUGCUUGUGGAUCAAUUCCUUAUUGCAUUCCCAAAUAUCAACAAGCAUUUCUGGCGCCGUUGCCGGGGAGAAAGACGGUUGCUGAGAUAACCUGUGUCUUGCUAUUAGCUUGUAUCUAUACUUUUAUCUUUUCUUAUCUUUUAUAUCCUUUAUUUAUUUUCUUUAUUCUUACCUUAUGGAAAACCAAAAUUCUAAAUCGAUCCAUGAGUCUGCAAUCCCUUUAGCAACUGACCUUUUACCAUGGGAAUCAUCACAGCCUAUCCAAACAUCCCAGUAUAAGUUAAGUUCUAGGUUGAUUGUCAUGAUUCAAAACCUAUCUUUUUUGGGAAAGGAAGACGAAAACCCUUACCUUCAUAUUAGAGAUUUUGAGCAAACAUGUGAUUGUCUUCGCAUUGAAGGCAUUUCUGAUAAGACUUUACGUUGGAAGCUUUUGCCUUUUUCUUUAAGGGGAGAAGCUAGACAAUGGUACAGUCAGAAGGUAAGUCAACAACAAGGUGAAUGGGGAGUUUUACGAGCCAACUUUUGUCUAGAUUUCUAUUCCCUUGACCGCAUAGCCGACCUUAGACUCGAAGUCCUAUCUUUUAAACAAACAGAUAAUGAAACUUUGGGAAAAUCCUGGAAACGUUUUUCUGAUCUUUUAGAAUCUGGUCCAAACCUUAAUCUUGAAGACCCUGUUCUUUUAUUUCACUUUUUUCGAGGUCUUCAUAAAAAUCACAAACAAAUGCUUCACACAAUGUCUAGAGGUUCUUUCUUUCGCAUCCCUGCUGAUGAAGCAAGAGUGAUCCUAGAUAGAAUCCUAGAAGCUGAGAUGGAUAAUACCCUUCAUGAUGAAACCUACGAAGCCGAAGUAGACACUCUGCCAAAUUCUUCAUCUACUUUAGCUAUCCCAAGUUCUGAGCCACAAGAGGAAGAAAUUCCACCACCGGACUUCAUGCUGGAUAUAGAAUCUGAUCUUUUUGCCGAUUUUGGAAAUAUUUCAAACUACCAUUCUAUUGACAAACCCCAAAACGGUCAAUUUAGCAUUUAUUUACCAAGUGAAUAUCAAUUGAGAGAGCUUAUCUCAGUCAUGAGUAGCGAAUGGUUGGAGGAAUCAGAGCUUUCCUCUGAUGUGAUCCGUUUGGACACACCCUCUAUAACUAUACGCUGUGCCUAUAAUUCUGAUCGAUUUAAUGCUCUCUAUAAUCCUGUUGUGGGGAUCAACAUCAUGUCUGAAUCCUUUGCACUUAAACUAUUUAAAAAUCUUAUCUUAACCCCCACAACAAAGGUCAUAAAGGAAUCUUCGGGACGAUUAGUCCCCAGUCUUGGAAUUAUUAAUGUCCUACCUCUCACGAUAGAAGGCUCCAUGGUUCAUUUGAACUUCUAUAUCUUUGAUACAUGGGACUUCGACCUAUUGAUAGGACAACCUUUUAGAAGACUCCUUUAUGAAGGUCAUACUGGAAAGCUACACAUUUCUUUUGGAAAAACUUUUAAAUUCCCAAUAAUAAUUUCACACUCCUUAAACAAUAAGGCCGAGUCAUAUCUUUUGCCUGAUCCUAUGGAGGAAGUAAAGGCUGCAUCUCUAGAGCUUUUAGAUGAACUAGACUUAGAAGACGAAACUCCUUUCUUCACUGAAGAAGAAGACGAACCUUCCGAGCCUAAACCCUUAGAUGAGUUUGCAGAAAUACCUAGACCUCCCAUAGAACUUAAAACUUUACCACCCGGUCUUACCUAUGCUUUCCUAAACAAUAAUCCAGAGUUCCCUGUGAUCAUUAGCGAUAAACUCACUCAGGAUCAAACUCUGCGAUUAAUGACCAUCCUUGAGAAACAUCACUCGGUUUUUGGCUAUUCACUUCAAGAUCUUACAGGAAUCAGUCCUAUGAUUUGUACACAUCGUAUUCCAACAGAUCCUUCUGUUACACCCUCUCGAGAACCCCAACGUAGACUUAACAACACUAUGAGAGAGGUAGUUAAAAAGGAAGUUAUAAAGUUGUUGCAUGCAGGGAUUAUAUAUCCUGUGCCGCACAGUGAGUGGGUGAGCCCAGUACAAGUUGUGCCCAAAAAGGGAGGCAUGACAGUUAUUAUGAAUGAAAAGAAUGAGCUAAUUCCGCAACGCACCGUCACAGGAUGGCGGAUGUGCAUAGACUAUAGAAAACUAAAUAAAGCCACGAGAAAGGAUCACUUUCCUUUACCUUUUUUAGAUGAGAUGCUAGAGCGGUUAGCAAACCAUUCGUUCUUCUGUUUCUUAGAUGGAUACUCAGGAUAUCAUCAAAUCCCGAUCCAUCCCGAUGAUCAAAGCAAAACCACUUUUACAUGCCCUUAUGGAACUUAUGCUUACCGUAGAAUGUCUUUUGGGUUAUGUAAUGCACCAGUUUCUUUUCAAAGAUGCAUGAUGUCUAUAUUUUCUGAUAUGAUUGAAGAGAUUAUGGAAGUUUUCAUGGAUGAUUUCUCUGUUUAUGGAAAAACUUUUGAUAGUUGUCUUGAAAACUUAGACAAGGUUUUGCAAAGAUGUGAAGAAAAGCACUUAAUCCUUAAUUGGGAAAAAUGUCAUUUUAUGGUUAGGGAAGGAAUAGUGCUGGGACACUUAGUGUCUGAAAGAGGUAUUGAGGUAGACAAAGCUAAAAUUGAAGUAAUUGAACAACUACCUCCACCUGUGAAUAUAAAAGGAAUUCGAAGCUUUCUUGGCCAUGCUGGUUUUUAUCGUAGAUUCAUAAAAGAUUUUUCAUUUAUUGCUAGACCACUUACUCUUUUGCUAGCCAAGGAUGCUCCUUUCGAAUUUCAUGAUGCAUGUCUAACAUCUUUCAAUUUAUUAAAGAAAGCACUCAUCUCUGCACCAAUCAUUCAACCCCCUGAUUGGUCGUUGCCUUUUGAAAUUAUGUGUGAUGCUAGUGAUUAUGCUGUGGGGGCAGUAUUGGGACAAACUAAAAAUAAAAAGCAUCAUGCAAUUGCUUGUGCCAGUAAAACUUUGACAGGAGCUCAACUUAAUUAUGCAACCACUGAAAAAGAGCUUCUGGCUGUUGUCUUUGCCAUAGAUAAAUUUAGAUCUUAUUUAGUUGGAGCUAAAAUAAUUGUUUACACUGAUCAUGCUGCAUUAAAAUAUUUGCUCACUAAAAAAGAUGCUAAACCACGCCUGAUUAGAUGGAUCUUAUUACUCCAAGAAUUUGACUUAGAAAUAAAAGAUAAAAAGGGAGUAGAAAAUUCUGUUGCUGAUCACUUGUCUAGAAUGUAUUUUAAGAGUCCACAGGAAACCCCCAUCAAUGAUUCACUCCGGGACGACAUGCUCUACGGGAUUAACAGGUCUGACCCCUCGUAUGCAGAUAUUGUUAAUUUUAUGGUUUAAGGGUAUGUACCACCAGGAGCAAACAAGAAGAAGCUUCUUCAAGAAAGUCGUUCACAUAUAUGGGAUGAGCCAUACCUCUUCCGAGUAUGCUCUGACGGCUUACUCAGGAGAUGUGUGACCACUAAGGAAGGAUGGAAGAUCAUCGACAGAUGUCAUUCAUCACCAUAUGGAGGUCAUUAUGGAGCAUUCUGUACACAUUCAAAGAUCUGGCAGUGUGGAUUCUAUUGGCCUACAAUGUAUGAGGACACGAAGCAAUAUAUCAGAAGAUGUGGGCCAUGUCAAAGGCACGGAAACAUAAAUACAAGGGAUGCAAUGCCACUCACCAACAACCUUCAGAUUGAGCUCUUUGAUGUCUGUGGAAUAGACUACAUGGGUCCAUUUCCUCCAUCAAAGAAGUGUGAGUACAUCUUGGUGGCAGUUGACUAUAUCUCCAAGUGGGUAGAGGCAUUACCUUGCAAGCAUGCCGACAACGUCAGUUCAAAGAGGAUGUUCGAAGAAAUUAUAUUUCCAAGAUUUGGAGUCCCCAGAGUAGUGAUAAGUGAUGGAGGAGCACACUUCAUCGACAAACGCUUCAAGCAAUAUCUAUCAAGACAUGGAAUCCGUCACAACGUCGCUACCCCCUAUCAUCCUCACACAAGUGGCCAAGCAGAAACUUCCAACAAACAAAUCAAGAAUAUUCUUCAGAAGACAGUAAAUGAAAUGGGAACAGCAUGGAAAGACAAGUUACCCGAUGCACUCUGGGCAUACCGGACAGCAUACAAGACCCCAAUUGGAAUGUCUCCAUACCAAUUGGUGUACGGGAAGACUUGCCAUCUACCUGUUGAACUAGAGUUCAAAGCACACUGGGCCAUAAAGAGAUGGAAUAUGGACCUGGAUGUUGCUGGAGAUUAUAGAAGAAUGCAACUAUCAGAAUUGGAAGAAUGGCGAGAGAAGGCAUAUCACAAUUCAAAAAUCUACAAAGAAAGAGUCAAGAGGUGGCAUGACAAGAGAAUCAAGAAGAAGGAGUUCACACCCGGAGAUAAGGUAUUACUUUUUAAUUCCAGGGUGAAGCUUUUCGGGCAUGGAAAACUCCGGAGCAAAUGGGAAGGACCAUUCAAGGUAAUCAAUUCAUCAUCCCACGGAGCUAUCACACUUCAAAACAGCGAAGGUACGUUAUUCAAGGUAAAUGGUCAACGUCUUAAAUUAUUUUUAGAGCCCAAUGAGGAAUUUGAAGAAAUAGACGUAGUCCAUUUUUACCUUCCCAUGGAGAAUUAGAGCCCGACACUUUUGGUCUGAUGGUUUUGGGUCAUAUAUAUAUUUUUCUAAAUAAUUUCGCAUCUAGAAACGCGCUCGGAAAAGUGGGCCCACAGAGGGGCCAGAGAGAGGGCGGGCGCCCAGGUCAAGUGGGCGGGCGCCCAGCCCCUGUUCCCUCUCGGUCCCGACUUUCUCUGUUAUGGAAAAUGCACUUAGGGUGAUCCGAAUAAUCCCUCGGAUGGAAAGUUUUGCACGCACAUCGACGGGAGCAACCCGAACAACCCAUAGAGGCACCCUUUUGACCCCUAUAUAAACAGACCCCUGACCUCAGUUUUCAAACACCAAGCCACCAAGCUUUCUCUCCUUCAAUUAGAGCUUGAUUAAGCUCUCCUUCAAUUAAAAUUUCAUUAGUUCCUUGCUACUCCAAUGGCCGACAAGUACCACGACGAUUGGGAAGUCGUCCCCUUCAACCUCAACAUGGAGCCUGUGGAAGACCCCGAUGCCCGUGCUCUCGUCCCGGCCAACACAGAGCGUCAGCUAGAAGCCAUGCCAUUACGCCAACGUAGCUCCGCCCAAUCUUACCAUGCUCAACCAGUUCUCACCGCACCACCACAACCCCUACUCCUCACAGGACCAUCAUCCAAGACGAAGACCACCAUCAAGGUGCCAACCGGCACAAGGAUCCUUCCACCUAGACCCAAUGAGAGGGUCGUUGGAGUCAAGACCAACUGGAGCGGCGAGAUCAACAGUAUUCGCUACACUACGGAGGAGGAAAGGCCUUACUUUGAAGGGAUUAGAGCAGCCAAAGUCCGUUUCAUCCCUCCAAAGGCAGCCCCGAAGCACUCUCUCAAUGCUUUUGAGACACCUCCCAAGCGUCGCAAGACUAUAAUGGAUAUUGAUGAGGAAGUUCGCAGGCUAGAUAGAGUUAUCAUAGACCUCCAGUCCUCGAAACCACAACACCGUUAUACUAGGCCUUAGGCAGGAUCUUGCAAGAUCAAGGAAUUAGAGCGCCGCUAAGUUAUCUAGAUUAUACCUUGAGGCAAUGCAUCUUAGUCAUCUAUUUUUAAAUUUGGUUUAGGUUUACUAUUAUCAUCAGUUUGCUAUUAUCAUCAGUUUGCCAUCAGUCUUUUGUAAUAAAUGCCCCAAGAUUAAUAAAGAGUAUUAUUAUUAUUAUUAUUAUUAUUAUUAUUAUUAUGUCUUGUGUGUCUCCACUUUAUUUUUGUGCAAGAAAGCAGAAAACAAGUAUGGGGGAGAUCCCUCGACAUGCCAAACACACUCCGACUACACCACUCCUCAAUCCAGGUACACACUUUGCACACUUUACUUUACACAUACAUUUAUUCUGGAUUAUGCAGAUUACUGUUUCCGACAUGAUAAAAUAAAAAGAUUAAAAUAUUUCUAAUCAUGAUUAAUCUCAAUUUAUGAUAUUUCCUGAAAACUUGGAAUUAUUAUAAAAUCAUUUUAAAACCCUGUGUACUUAAGUCAAUAUGGAAUAUGUGAUGGUAGAGUAUGAGUUUCUUAUUCUUGAUAUCAUUGUUGCUUGGAGAAUUUAUUUCAAAAUAUUCAAAAUUAUAGCUACCAUCCUCAGUGUUUUAUAUGCCUGAUAAGAAUGAAAAUAUUAAUUAUGAUUAUAAAAGUUAUCUGCUCUGUAUUAAGUUUGUUCAAAAUGAGUUAGACGCUUGUUGAGAGAUUUAUCAUGCUCCCAAGAUCAAGACAUUAUUUCAGUAAGAUUCACUCUUCUAAAGUAUUAUUGCAUUAGAGGCAUGGGCUAUGCAAAAAUAGAGAUAUUUUGAGGAAAUAAAAAGGAGCAAGUGCUCGAUAACCUCGCAGAAAAAAUGGACAAGUGUCCGGCAGUAGAAAUAGGGGUACCUCGGUAUCCACUUAAAAAAAGAGAAAAGAGAAAAAUGAUAGCCCAUGGUCCCUCUAAUAAGCAAUAUGCCAGCAAGAGUUGACAAAGUUUUUAAUUUUCAAAGUCUUUGAUCUAAGAGUAUGACAUUCCCCUCCUCGGAUCCCGUUUUGAUCAAGCAAUAAAUGCAAAGUAAGUAUGCUUGAGAAUUUUUGCAAAAUAAAACAGCCUCAGUGAGAUAUAUAUAAAAGAUAAUGAGUGAUCUGAGAGAACCUAUGAGGAUAAAAAGGUAUGCUAACUUUCUUUCAAAAAUAUACAAAAGCUCCAAGUGACAGGAUUGAGAAGAAAGGAUCUUUACUCUUAACCAUAUACUUCCUUGACUAUGGUACACAGUGAAUUUUUUAACACCCUGCAAUUAUAAAGAGAAUGCUUUAAAAUGUUUACCCCAGAUAUUUUUCUUAACCAUCCUUUUCUCGAGGACGAGUAAAAGCCUAAGUAUGGGGGUAUUUGUUGACGGUUCUUAAGUAUCAAUUUUAAUUAUCAAAUAAACAAGAGAAAGGACCAAUAUGCAACCAUCACCUAGAAUUAGGGUUUGAUCUGACAGAAUUCCACGAGUUUUGUUGUUUAUCUGUUUCUGUAGGGGGUUAUCAGGAAAUAAGGAAGAAAGGCCCACAUGUCGGGAUUACAUAGAGAUAUCAACGCAUCGCGUAAUUUUACAUCAUCUAGAAGACUCCAGAAGCCACGAGACCGAAGCGGAGGCAAAACUGGGCCAGGCCCAGGGCGCCCGCCCUGGUAGCCUGGGCGCCCGCCCCCCCUGUUGGAGCCAAAUCAGGACUCUUUCGCUCGGGAUAUUCCACCGACCUAUUGGAUCAAGAAAAACAUAGUACCACCUCGCCUAUCGACCCAAAAACGCAUAGAAGGGGAGGACUAUAUAAGCAAGGCCCCCUGGCCCCUGG
rnacentral:lncRNA from 1 species